AUCUACCUCUUGCUAUAUGAGCUAUCAACCUCAUAAUUCAUGUUCACAUUGUCGAGAUAUCAUUCUAGGGUGGAAGAAUUUGGAAGGUAUUUGCAAACUCUCUUUUACUCAUUUUAAGAAUAACUUUUCUAGGGCCCGACUUAUAGAAAAAGUACGCCCUAUUAUGAAAUAUGAUGAAGACUUAAUGAAUUUGGUAAGUGAUGCUUGCAACAUGCCCGUUCUUUAUGGGCAUGCCGACGUUAAGUUAAC
rnacentral:lncRNA from 1 species